CCCAACAGAAAUGUCAUCUUCAUAUGUACUGCCAGCAACGGGCUCACUAACGCCUCUAGGGUUGUGAGGGAGACAUGCCAAGAUGAACAGCCCAAGCCUGAGUUGCUCUUAGGAUAUCUGUUCAGAUGUCUUUUAACAUAUAUUUUCAGAGGUGAGUGGGAAUUAAAUUACAACUAAUUGUAAUUUCUAUCAAAUUUCACAGUGCCUCCAGAUGUCUUGUGUAUAAAUAUAUGCUCCCUUAAUUUAAGUUCUAGCUGAAAUGAAGAUGUUUUGCAACCUUUAUUUUCUGUGCUAGGUGCAAAAUAGGUACAACGGAAGAUAUCACUGACUGCCUUGUUUUAUGUUUGCCAUAGAGUCCCUCACAUGCUUAUCAACCAGGUUCAACAAGCGUCGAAGCAUCAACCAGGUGGGUGCUACACUUUCGGAAGUUGAAAGAAACUCCAGUCUACCUAUAGAGAGGAGCUGAACAUCGUAGUUGACAAAGUGCCUGAUGAAGAGCACCUGCCCUGACUGACAUUUCUCCCUGGUUGUUCCAUCUAUGCUCCCCCACUCAACCUACUGUCUAUCCAUACUGCCUCAAUGCCUUAUCAUCUGAUGCUGUUGAAGCCAAUCGCCCAAGAAUCUGCCAGAUCCUUUUGUUUUUUAGAUUGUUUUUUAAAGUGACUUUGAGGUUCUUAAAUGAAAGCGCUAUAUAAAAUACAUAUUAUUAUUAUUAUU